rnacentral:rRNA from 1 species
UACAGAGGUGGCAAGCGUUGUUCGGAAUUACUGGGCGUAAAGGGCGCGUAGGCGGCUCGACAAGUCCCGCGUGAAAGCCCCCCGGCUCAACUGGGGAACUGCGCGGGAAACUGUCGGACUUGAGUUCGGGAGAGGGAAGCGGAAUUCCGGGUGUAGCGGUGAAAUGCGUAGAUAUCCGGAGGAACACCGGUGGCGAAGGCGGCUUCCUGGACCGACACUGACGCUGAGGCGCGAAAGCGUGGGGAGCAAACAGG